rnacentral:rRNA from 1 species
CGGAGGGUGCAAGCGUUAUCCGGAUUCACUGGGUUUAAAGGGUGCGUAGGUGGGUUGGUAAGUCAGUGGUGAAAUCUCCAGGCUUAACUUGGAAACUGCCAUUGAUACUAUCAAUCUUGAAUACCGUGGAGGUCAGCGGAAUAUGUCAUGUAGCGGUGAAAUGCUUAGAUAUGACAUAGAACACCAAUUGCGAAGGCAGCUGGCUACACGAAUAUUGACACUGAUGCACGAAAGCGUGGGGAUCAAACAGGAUUAGAUACCCUGGUAGUCCACGCCCUAAACGAUGGAUACUCGACAUACGCGAUAUACUGUGUGUGUCUGAGCGAAAGCAUUAAGUAUCCCACCUGGGAAGUACGAUCGCAAGAUUG